rnacentral:rRNA from 1 species
UACGGAGGGUGCAAGCGUUGUUCGGAUUUAUUGGGCGUAAAGCGCGUGUAGGCGGUUUCUUAAGUCUGAUGUGAAAGCCCCGGGCUCAACCCGGGAAGUGCAUUGGAUACUGUCGGGCUAGAGUACGGAAGAGGCAAGUGGAAUUCCUGGUGUAGCGGUGGAAUGCGCAGAUAUCAGGAGGAACACCCAUAGCGAAGGCAGCUUGCUGGGACGUUACUGACGCUAAGGCGCGAAAGCGUGGGGAGCGAACAGG